UACGUAGGGGGGCAAGCGUUGUCCGGAUUUAUUGGGCGUAAAGAGCGUGUAGGCGGCCAGAUAGGUCAGCUGUGAAAAACUCGAGGCUCAACCUCGAGACGUCGGUUGAAAACCAUCUGGCUAGAGUCCGGAAGAGGAGAGUGGAAUUCCCGGUGUAGCGGUGAAAUGCGCAGAUAUCGGGAAGAACACCCGUGGCGAAGGCGGCACUCUGGGACGGUACUGACGCUGAGACGCGAAAGCGUGGGGAGCGAACAGG
rnacentral:rRNA from 1 species